rnacentral:rRNA from 1 species
AGGUGCUAAUACCGGAUAAUAAAGCAGAUCGCAUGAUCAGCUUUUGAAAGGCGGCGUAAGCUGUCGCUAAGGGAUGGCCCCGCGGUGCAUUAGCUAGUUGGUAAGGUAACGGCUUACCAAGGCGACGAUGCAUAGCCGAGUUGAGAGACUGAUCGGCCACAUUGGGACUGAGACACGGCCCAAACUCCUACGGGAGGCAGCAGUAGGGAAUCUUCCACAAUGGACGCAAGUCUGAUGGAGCAACGCCGCGUGAGUGAAGAAGGUUUUCGGAUCGUAAAGCUCUGUUGUUGGUGAAGAAGGAUAGAGGUAGUAACUGGCCUUUAUUUGACGGUAAUCAACCAGAAAGUCACGGCUAACUACGUGCCAGCAGCCGCGGUAAUACAUAGGUGGCAAGCGUUGUCCGGAUUUAUUGGGCGUAAAGCGAGCGCAGGCGGAAAAAUAAGUCUAAUGUGAAAGCCCUCGGCUUAACCGAGGAACUGCAUCGGAAACUGUUUUUCUUGAGUGCAGAAAGAGGAGAGUGGAACUCCAUGUGUAGCGGUGGAAUGCGUAGAUAUAUGGAAGAACACCAGUGGCGAAGGCGGCUCUCUGGUCUGCAACUGA